ACGCCCGCGCUGCUCAGCGCUACCGCUUCCCCGCAACUGUGCGGAGUGGGAGCCGGUGCCCGGUCCGACCGGCUUGGGCGGCGCGCCUUCACCCGGCGCCAGGUCCGGACCCCUCCCUAGUAGCUUCGCGGCCUCCCUGCCUCCUGUGCGCGGCCUGGCUCGGAGAGGUCGGGCGGGCAGGCUUUCCCGACUGCAGGCGAGGCAGUGCGCGGCUCACCCCAGUCCCCGACCCACGUGAAGCGUACAGGGCAUUUUAUUAACCGGGAAGGACGGUGCGGAAGAGCGAGCAGGACGCCUCUUCACCCCGCGUAGGCAGUGUCGUCGUUGCUGUCACUAAAGGCGGAGGAAGAGAGCUCUUCGCGGGGCGUGCAGACCGGGCACCGCUGCCGCAUGUCGUCCCAGCACGACCAGCAGUACACGGCCUCGCAGUCCAGCGUCCGGCACACGUAGGACUCGGGCGUCUCGGGUGCCUGGCACACCACGCAGCGCCGGCACAGCCAGCGGCGCAGGAGCGGGCAGCCGCGGUGCAGGAUAUCCGCCAGCGGGUGGCGCUGUUGGGAGGUGAGAAAACUGAUGCUUGGAGAUGUGAUCACUGCCCAGGGUCACCCAAUGAUAACAUGCAUGCAUAUGGAACUUGCUGCAUGCCAGCACCAUGGCCCCAAUGGUUUUUCGAAGAAGCCGGGCUAGCAUGGAGUCUCCCCCGACCUUCACCUCCAGUUUAUGACUGCCUGCGGCCAGGAGGACAGGAGUCCGCUCCCCAUGCUGUCCUCACCACAUUGCUCAUUUCUGAGGCCUGGAUGGUGGGCUUGCAAGGGAAGAUGACGGUUUUCUCCUCAGCUUUGCGGAGUGGCAGCAGAGUCCGUUUGCCCUGGAAAACAAAUGUCCACACAGUUAGGAAGCCCAAGGGCCCUCUGCCCUUUCCUCUCUGCCUUCCUGGAGCAUGAACCCACACAGGGCACACAGCAGCAAGGCAUCCCCGGGCAGUGCCGUGCCCACUCACCAGCUUCUUCCUGCGGUCAUCGAUCUGGCAGAAGUUCUCCUCAUCUAUCCCCAAACAUGGGCUUCCUUGAGGCACAGUCAUUCAACCAACCAGCCAGCAUUCAUUGAGCACCAUCUAUGUCCUGGGCACUGCUAGGGGAUGGUGAUAACAGGGAGAAGACUCUGUCCCUGCCUUCCAAUUGUGUAGAGGAAGACAUCCCCCUACAUGAUGGGUGAGACAUAGCAGAAGUGAGUAGGGGAUGAGGUGGGGGCUCAGAGGAGGGCAUGGUCAGCCUGUCUGGGAGGGAGUUGCAUGUGUGCAUCUGAGGUAGGGACAGGCAUGCAUCUUACAGGAUGAAUAUCGAGCAGAGUUACAGAGAGGGGGAAACUCCUUGAGGUUUCAGGAAUCACCUAAUCCACUGUGACUCACAAAUUCCUGCCUCUUGGCUUUGCCUGCAGCAUAUCUCCUGGAAGUGUGCUGGGGCAAAACUCAUCCCAGACCACCAUCUCCAUCCUCCCCCAAUACACCCUGGCUCUCCCUGGCUACCCUUGAGCACGGUGCACGUGUGCAUGGGUGCAUGCCUGCAUAUAUAGCUAUCCCCCAUGUAUUUCCCAAAGCCCUACAUAAUGCUUCAGUUUGCUAAGGAAAAAAUGUUAAUUACUGCAAAUGUGUUUAAAACUGUAAAAGUACAUUAAACAAACUCUGUAAAGUGUGAAA
rnacentral:lncRNA from 1 species